rnacentral:rRNA from 1 species
GAUGAACGCUGGCGGCGUGCCUAAUACAUGCAAGUCGAGCGAACAGACGAGGAGCUUGCUCCUCUGACGUUAGCGGCGGACGGGUGAGUAACACGUGGAUAACCUACCUAUAAGACUGGGAUAACUUCGGGAAACCGGAGCUAAUACCGGAUAAUAUAUUGAACCGCAUGGUUCAAUAGUGAAAGACGGUUUUGCUGUCACUUAUAGAUGGAUCCGCGCCGCAUUAGCUAGUUGGUAAGGUAACGGCUUACCAAGGCAACGAUGCGUAGCCGACCUGAGAGGGUGAUCGGCCACACUGGAACUGAGACACGGUCCAGACUCCUACGGGAGGCAGCAGUAGGGAAUCUUCCGCAAUGGGCGAAAGCCUGACGGAGCAACGCCGCGUGAGUGAUGAAGGUCUUCGGAUCGUAAAACUCUGUUAUUAGGGAACAACAAAUGUGUAAGUAACUAUGCACGUCUUGACGGUACCUAAUCAGAAAGCCACGGCUAACUACGUG